rnacentral:rRNA from 1 species
UACGAAGGGGGCUAGCGUUGCUCGGAAUCACUGGGCGUAAAGUGCACGUAGGCGGAUUGCUAAGUCAGGGGUGAAAUCCUGGAGCUCAACUCCAGAACUGCCUUUGAUACUGAAGAUCUUGAGUUCGGGAGAGGUGAGUGGAACUGCGAGUGUAGAGGUGAAAUUCGUAGAUAUUCGCAAGAACACCAGUGGCGAAGGCGGCUCACUGGCCCGAUACUGACGCUGAGGCACGAAAGCGUGGGGAGCAAACAGG